rnacentral:rRNA from 2 species
CACGCCGUAAACGAUGAGUGCUAAGUGUGAGGGGGAUUCCGCCCCUUAGUGCUGCAGCUAACGCAUUAAGCACUCCGCCUGGGGAGUACGGUCGCAAGACUGAAACUCAAAGGAAUUGACGGGGGCCCGCACAAGCGGUGGAGCAUGUGGUUUAAUUCGAAGCAACGCGAAGAACCUUACCAGGUCUUGACAUCCUCUGACAACCCUAGAGAUAGGGCUUUCCCUUCGGGGACAGAGUGACAGGUGGUGCAUGGUUGUCGUCAGCUCGUGUCGUGAGAUGUUGGGUUAAGUCCCGCAACGAGCGCAACCCUUGAUCUUAGUUGCCAGCAUUUAGUUGGGCACUCUAAGGUGACUGUUUUUGUCAAACCGGAGGAAGGUGGGGAUGACGUCAAAUCAUCAUGCCCCUUAUGACCUGGGCUACACACGUGCUACAAUGGACAGAACAAAGGGCUGCAAGACCGCAAGGUUUAGCCAAUCCCAUAAAUCUGUUCUCAGUUCGGAUCGCAGUCUGCAACUCGACUGCGUGAAGCUGGAAUCGCUAGUAAUCGCGGAUCAGCAUGCCGCGGUGAAUACGUCU